GACGUAGGGCGCGAGCGUUGUCCGGAUUUAUUGGGCGUAAAGAGCUCGUAGGCGGCUUGUCGCGUCGUCCGUGAAAACCAGGGGCUCAACCCCUGGCUUGCGGUCGAUACGGGCAGGCUAGAGUUCGGUAGGGGAGACUGGAACUCCUGGUGUAGCGGUGAAAUGCGCAGAUAUCAGGAGGAACACCGGUGGCGAAGGCGGGUCUCUGGGCGAUACUGACGCUGAGGAGCGAAAGCGUGGGGAGCGAACAGG
rnacentral:rRNA from 1 species